UUGGAACCUAAUCAAGAGUGCACGAGCUCAGCGGGCACCGACGCACGGAGGACCCCUUCCCCUCCCGGCGUCCAUGGUGCAGUUCGUGUUCGAGAGUGACCUGCACUCGCUUCUGCAGCUGGACGCACCAAUCCCCAAUGCAUCCCCCCCCCGCAAGGCCAAGGAGGUCGCAGGCCCGUCCCCCUCACCCAUGCGGGCCGCCAACCGAUCUCACAGCGCCGGCAGGACUCCGGGCCGAACUCCCGGCAAAUCCAGCUCCAAAGUUCAGACCACUCCUAGCAAGCCUGGCAGCGACCGCUAUAUCCCCCAUCACAGCGCUUCUCAGAUGGAGGUGGCCAGCUUCCUUCUAAGCAAGGAGAAUCAGCCGGAGGACAACCAGACACCCACCAAGGAGGAACAUCAGAAAGCCUGGGCUUUGAAUCUGAACGGUUUUGAUGUGGAGGAAGCCAAGAUCUUACGGAUCAGUGGAAAACCACAAAAUGCCCCAGAGGGUUACCAGAACAGACUGAAAGUACUCUACAGCCAGAAGGCCACACCUGGCUCCAGCCAAAAGACCUGCCGUUACACUCCCUCCCUGCCAGACCGGAUCCUGGAUGCCCCUGAAGUCCGAAAUGACUGCUACUUGAACCUUGUGGAUUGGAGCUCUGGGAACGUACUGGCUGUGGCACUGAAUAACAGCGUGUACCUGUGGAAUGCUGGCUCUGGUAACAUCCUUUAGUUGUUGCAAAUGGAGCAGCCUGGGGAAUAUGUAUCCUCUGUGACCUGGAUCAAAGAGGGCAACUACUUGGCUGUGGGCACCAGCAGUGCUGAGGUGCAGCUAUGGGAUGUGCAACAGCAGAAAUGGCUUUGAAAUAUGACCAGUCACUCUGCUCCAGUGGGUUCCCUAAGUUGGAAUAGCUAUAUCCUUUCCAGUGGCUCACGCGCCGGCCAUAUCCACCACCACAAUGUUCGAGUGGUGGAACACCAUGUGGCCACACUGAGUGGCCACAGCCAGGAAAUGUGUGGACUGCGUUAGGCCCCAGAUGGAUGACAUUAGGCCAGUGGUGGCAACGAUAACUUGGUCAAUGUGCGGCCUAGUGCUCCAGGAGAGGGUGGCUGGGUUCCUUUGCAAACAUUCACCGAGCAUCAAGGGGCUGUCAAGGCUGUAGCUUGGUGUCCCUGGCAGUCCAAUGUCCUGGCAACAGGAGGGGCACCAGUGAGCGACACAUUCACAUAUGGAACGUCUGCUCUGGGACCUGUCUGAGUGCUGUGGAUACCCAUUCCCAGGUGUGCUCCAUUCUCAGGUCUCCCCACUACAAGGAGCUCAUUUCAGGCCAUGGCUUUGCCCAGAACCAGCUGGUUAUUUGGAAGUACCCAACUAUGGCCAAGGUGGCUGAGCUCAAAGGUCACGCAU